GCUGUAGCUCAGUAUAGCAACAGGACGUCUGCUUGGCAUGUAGAAGGUCCCUGGUUUAAUCCCUGGCAUCUCCA